rnacentral:pre_miRNA from 1 species
UGGAUCCAAAUGGGGCUCCUCUUCUCUCCAACUCUGAAAGGAGGUGAUGGCUGACGACGGCUGCUUCCUCAUGAAUACCUCUGGGGGUGCGCACGAUACCAAUGAGUGUGCGCAUACUAAGGGUUUGCAUGAGGUAGGAGACGAGGUUGCCUUGAUCUUUUUGGUAUUGGAGUGAAGGGAGCUUCAAAUGGUCUGCAU